GCUCUGGACUGUUAUAGCAAACGAAAGUAGCUUUUAGCCAAAUCGGACAGGGUGAACGAGCAA
rnacentral:sRNA from 1 species